rnacentral:rRNA from 1 species
AUUGAACGCUGGCGGCAUGCCUUACACAUGCAAGUCGAACGGCAGCACGGGAGCAAUCCUGGUGGCGAGUGGCGAACGGGUGAGUAAAGUAUCGGAACGUGCCCAGUCGUGGGGGAUAACGUAGCGAAAGUUACGCUAAUACCGCACACGAUCUAUGGAUGAAAGCGGGGGAUCGCAAGACCUCGCGCGAUUGGAGCGGCCGAUAUCGGAUUAGGUAGUUGGUGGGGUAAAGGCUCACCAAGCCGACGAUCUGUAGCUGGUCUGAGAGGACGACCAGCCACACUGGGACUGAGACACGGCCCAGACUCCUACGGGAGGCAGCAGUGGGGAAUUUUGGACAAUGGGCGAAAGCCUGAUCCAGCCAUGCCGCGUGCAGGGUGAAGGCCUUCGGGUUGUAAACUGCUUUUGUACGGAACGAAAAGGUUUGGCCUAAUAAGCUGAGCUCAUGACGGUACCGUAAGAAUAAGCACCGGCUAACUACGUGCCAGCCGCCGCGGUAA